GACUCGGUGCGGGCACGGGUCGAAGUUCGUCGGUUACCACUUUUAAUGGGGAGUCGCAGGUUCGAGUCCUGCCCGGGGCCA
rnacentral:tRNA from 1 species